rnacentral:rRNA from 1 species
CAGCCGCCACGGUAAUACGGAGGGUGCAAGCGUUAAUCGGAAUUACUGGGCGUAAAGCGCACGCAGGCGGUUUGUUAAGUCAGAUGUGAAGUCCCCGAGCUUAACUUGGGAACUGCAUUUGAAACUGGCAAGCUGGAGUCUUGUAGAGGGGGGUAGAAUUCCAGGUGUAGCGGUGAAAUGCGUAGAGAUCUGGAGGAAUACCGGUGGCGAAGGCGGCCCCCUGGACAAAGACUGACGCUCAGGUGCGAAAGCGUGGGGAGCAAACAGGAUUAGAUACCCCUGUAGUCCCUGUCUCUUAUAC